GACGAACGCUGGCGGCGCGCUUAACACAUGCAAGUCGAGCGAUGAAAUCUUAACAGAACCCUUCGGGGUGAAGAUAAGACGGAUUAGCGGCGGACGGGUGAGUAACACGUGAGUAACCUGCCUUUUACACAGGGAUAGCCUCAGGAAACCGGGAUUAAAACCUGAUGAAACUAUCAAAUCACAUGAUUAAGAAAGUUAAAACUCCGGUGGUAAAAGAUGGACUCGCGUCCCAUUAGCUAGUUGGUGAAGGUAACGGCCCACCAAGGCAACGAUGGGUAGCCGGCCGGAGAGGGGGAACGGCCACAUUGGAACUGAGAAACGGUCCAAACUCCUACGGGAGGCAGCAGUGGGGAAUAUUGCACAAUGGGGGAAACCCUGAUGCAGCGACGCCGCGUGAGCGAAGAAGGCCUUCGGGUCGUAAAGCUCUUUUAUAUGGGAAGAUAAUGACGGUACCAGAAGAAAAAGCCCCGGCUAACUACGUG
rnacentral:rRNA from 1 species